rfam:Nomascus leucogenys chromosome 9, whole genome shotgun sequence.
GCCGGGUGUGGUGGCGGGUGCCUGUGGUCCCAGCUGCUUAGGAGGCUGAGGCAGGAGGAUCACUUGAGCCCUGGAAGUCAAGGCUGCAGUGAGCUGCAUUGGUGCCACUGCACUCCAGCCUGGGCGACAGGUUGAGACCCUGUCUCUU